UCGGGGGCGGCGCUCAAACGAGUAAAUACGGUAUGAGUGAAUUUGUUCUUGGCGGGAAAUUUCCCAAUUCCCGCCUGGCUUUUGUGACGACUUUGUUUAUUUGCUUGAAGGUGAACACUUUAUUUUGUCGCUUAUAAAUAUCGGGACUGUCAGAACAUUAGCAGAAAAAUAAUGAAAACGAAGAUGUAACAGGUGAGUGGUUAUAAUUCUGUAUAUGAGAGUUAAUUUUGAACGGUCUCAGUGUAGACUAUUAGUGGCAAUAAUAGCAAAACUUCCCGGUUGAUAGGAAUGGAAGUGCGUGCAAAAUACAAGGGAAAUUCGACGUUUCGAGCGAAGGUCCUUCGUCUGGGAGUUAGUAGGCAAACUUUUCGACGAAGAACUAACUUCCCGACGAACUAACUUCGCUCGAAACGUCGAAUUUCUCCCUGUAUUUUUCAAGUACAUCACUAUCAGCCAUUUUGUUAUAUUAGAGUUACCAUCUAGCGCAAACAUGGCUUCCACAUUUAUAGUGAAAUAUAAAACAUGAAAUACAGACUGAUUGGUUUGGCAGAACAAAUCGCUGCGACAAAGAUGUAUUAGUUUUCUCCAUUCAAACGAGUCCAUCUCUUCCCAUGAGGGUGGAUUAAUUUAAUUUUUCGUUCAUGUUAUUGCUUUUGUUCUCCAGUGUCUGUCGCGAAAUCUCGCAGACUCGCACAUCAAUAUUUUUUAUUUUUCUAAAGUGGAAACACCACAUGAAUUCUUUCUGGCGCCAUAUUUUGAUACUCGUGUUGUUUGCAAACUGUGUCUGAAUAUUCUCAUUUUUAUGAUCAGAAAUUCUGUAGAACCGAAGUAUUAAAAAGAUUCAAUAAAGAAAGACUCGAGGGAACAGUUGGGUCACUUGGGUGAUAUUUUUAAUCCAAAUUUGAGUGCGCGUCUGAGCAUACGUGGGACUAUUAAAGAUCAGAAGCUGAAAGCCUGAGACCAUGUCUAGGAAAUGUGAUGUUUGUAACAAGGUAUUUUCACACAGAAGCUCUUUGCUAAAACAUAAAAGAACACACACUGGAGACAAACCUUAUGAAUGUGAUGUUUGUAACAAAAGAUUUUUGCGAUCAGACGUGUUAGCGGUUCAUAAGAGAAUACACACUGGAGAGAAACCUUAUGAAUGUGAUGUUUGCAACAAAAGAUUUUUACACUCAAGCCACUUAGCAGUUCAUAAGGCAACACACACUGGAGACAAACCUUUUCAAUGUGAUGUUUGCAACAAAAGAUUUUUGCGAUCAUACGCGUUAGCGGUUCAUAAAAGAACACACACUGGAAACAAACCUUAUGAAUGUGAUGUUUGCAACAAAAGAUUUUCGCAGUCAGGUCAAUUAACUGUACAUAAGAAAACACACACUGGAGACAAACCUUAUGAAUGUGAUGUUUGCAAAAAACAAUUUGUGCAAGCAUGCACCUUAGCUGCCCACAAGAGAACACACACUGGAGAGAAACCUUAUGAAUGUGAUAUUUGCAACAAGAGAUUUUCACAAUCGAGCAACUUAACUACCCAUAAAAAAACACAUACCAGAGAGAAACCUUAUGAAUGUCACGUUUGCAACAAGAGAUUUUCAGAAUCACACAAAUUAACACAACAUAAAGUAUCAGCACACAAGAGAAAUGAGAACUUUGAGUGCGGUAUCUGCAAAAAAACAUUCACACAACGACAAAGUUUCAAACGUCACUGGAGAUCACACUUGAGAGAUGGCUUAUUAUUGUGCCACACCUGUGGCAAAGAAAUUAUUCGAGAUCAAGGACAUGCUACUGAGAUACUGAGUGAUGAUCCUUUUCUCUGUGGCAAAUGCAACAAACAGUUCCCUGAUAUUGAAAGUUUAUAUCAGCACAAGGCCAAAGACCAUGGUACAUCCUACCAAUGUGAUAUUUGUAAGGAAUUAGAAGCAAGAGAAGCAACUGGUAUUGGUUAUAUCUGUUGUGUCUGUGAUGCCGAGUUUGAAAUUGCCACUGAACUUGAAGAUCAUAUGAGUAUGCAUGACAAUGUGCUGCCUCACUAGCUAGGCAACAUAAAUUGACACUAUUUUGAGCAAUACGUUCUUUUUCAAAUUUAUCUUGAAAUCAGUUUGGGAUUGUUUACUGUCAUUCCAAUUGAAGUGUUGCUCAAAUAUUGAUUCAAUUUCAUCAAUUCAUUUCAUCAAGUUCCUCGAGAUAUUCAUACCUGUUGAAUACUUUGAAUGCGCCAAUCACCUUUGUUGUUUGUGCCACUAACCAAUCAUAAAUAGAAAGGAAUUAAUUAAGUGACCAGAAAUGAUCAAAUACUUGGAAUUGGCUCUUUCACAGGAAGUGCAUGAAUAUCUCGAGGAACUUGAUCAGAUGAAUUGGUCAGCCCAAGGUAAUGUAUUGAAUCAAUAUUUGAGCAACACUUCAAUUGGAACGACAGUAAAUUGUUUGAUUUGUUUUGUGAUUGUUUUUAUUCUUUUUAAAUACAGUAUAAACUGUUCCGUACAUAAAAUGGCAUCGAUAUUUGGUGAUGAUUCACGCCUGUUGAUUGAGGGAUCCAUUUAUCAACUGAGAUCAUUUUGUAAUUAUCGGUUGUUUUUCGUUGGAAAUUUAUUAAGUUUGGAUUAUUUAUAGUGUAAUGAAAUGAUUAUUACAUUUUUAUAGUGAUAUUGCUUCAUUUUAUUACUGAUGGCAAUAUUAUAUAUUGUAAAGUUACUGUAUUCGCCCUAUUAAGCCGUCUUGAAAUAUUAAAGGCCCCCUCUCUAAUAACCGCCUCC
rnacentral:lncRNA from 1 species